ACACACUAAAGUUGUAAUUUUUAUCUCAAAAACUCCAUGAGUACAGAGAAGGUGGAAGAACACACUAAAGUUGAGAUUUUUAUCUCAAAAACUCCAUGAGUACAGAGAAGGUGAAAGAACACAUUAAAGUUGAGAUUUUUAUCUCAAAAACUCCAUGAGUACAGAGAAGGUGGAAGAAGACACUAAAGCUGCGAUUUUUAUCUCAAACUCCAUGAAUACAUGUUCGUUUUCUUGCUUUGUCUAUCAAAGCUUAAAUUUGUGUUUUGAGCCUUCUCCGACGUGCUUCCCCUGCCAUUUUCAAUUUUUAUCUCCAAACUCCAUGAAUACAGUUGAAUUUCUCGGAAACGGACCCGUUCAUAAGUAUCAAAUGAACAUAGUUGGAUUGUUGUUGUUCUGCCUUAAUGGAAAAAUAUGGAUCUUUGUGUUACAUUCGCUACCUAUUUUUAUCUUUUUUGUGUUUCAUGUUUGAGUUUCUUUCUUUACGUGUUCAUUAAUGUAUUACUUGCAAAAAAUAAUGUUUAUUACUAUGAUUAACUUUGAGGUUCACGAGCUAUCUUGAAUCUUCUCCAAUUCUGUUCUUAUCAUGGUAACGUAUCAACGUGUACAAAAUCUCUGUUGUAGU